rnacentral:rRNA from 1 species
UACGUAGGGUGCAAGCGUUGUCCGGAAUUAUUGGGCGUAAAGAGCUCGUAGGCGGUCUGUUGCGUCGGCUGUGAAAACCCGGGGCUCAACCCCGGGCCUGCAGCCGAUACGGGCAGACUAGAGUUCGGCAGGGGAGACUGGAAUUCCUGGUGUAGCGGUGAAAUGCGCAGAUAUCGGGAAGAACACCCGUGGCGAAGGCGGUUCUCUGGGACGGUACUGACGCUGAGACGCGAAAGCGUGGGGAGCAAACAGG